rnacentral:rRNA from 1 species
CUCGUAGGCGGUUUGGCAAGUCGGGUGUGAAAUUUCGAGGCUCAACCUCGAAACGCCACUCGAUACUGCCAUGACUGGAGUCCGGUAGAGGAGUGCGGAAUUCCUGGUGUAGCGGUGAAAUGCGCAGAUAUCAGGAGGAACACCAACGGCGAAGGCAGCACUCUGGGCCGGUACUGACGCUGAGGAGCGAAAGCGUGGGGAGCAAACAGGAUUAGAUACCCUGGUAGUCCACGCCGUAAACGUUGGGCACUAGGUGUGGGGGGCUGUCAACGCCCUCCGUGCCGUAGCUAACGCAUUAAGUGCCCCGCCUGGGGAGUACGGCCGCAAGGCUAAA